AACGAACGCUGGCGGCAUGCCUAACACAUGCAAGUCGAACGAGACCUUCGGGUCUAGUGGCGCACGGGUGCGUAACGCGUGGGAAUCUGCCCUUGGGUUCGGAAUAACAGUUAGAAAUGACUGCUAAUACCGGAUAAUGUCUUCGGACCAAAGAUUUAUCGCCCAGGGAUGAGCCCGCGUAGGAUUAGCUAGUUGGUGAGGUAAAGGCUCACCAAGGCGACGAUCCUUAGCUGGUCUGAGAGGAUGAUCAGCCACACUGGGACUGAGACACGGCCCAGACUCCUACGGGAGGCAGCAGUGGGGAAUAUUGGACAAUGGGCGAAAGCCUGAUCCAGCAAUGCCGCGUGAGUGAUGAAGGCCUUAGGGUUGUAAAGCUCUUUUACCCGGGUAUGAUAAUGACAGUACCGGGAGAAUAAGCUCCGGCUAACUCCGUGCCAGCAG
rnacentral:rRNA from 1 species